AUACGGAGGGUGCAAGCGUUAUCCGGAUUUAUUGGGUUUAAAGGGUCCGUAGGCGGAUCUGUAAGUCAGUGGUGAAAUCUCAUAGCUUAACUAUGAAACUGCCAUUGAUACUGCAGGUCUUGAGUAAGGUAGAAGUAGCUGGAAUAAGUAGUGUAGCGGUGAAAUGCAUAGAUAUUACUUAGAACACCAAUUGCGAAGGCAGGUUACUAUGUCUUAACUGACGCUGAUGGACGAAAGCGUGGGGAGCGAACAGGAUUAGAAACCCCUGUAGUCC
rnacentral:rRNA from 1 species